GGGGUAAAGGCUUACCAAGCUGAUGAUCCUUAGCUGGUCUGAGAGGACGAUCAGCCACACUGGGACUGAGAUAAGGCCCAGGCUUUUAGCCAGCAGUGAGGAAUUUUGGACAAUGCGCGAAAGCGUGAUCCAGUAAUACUGCGUGAAUGAGGAAAGCAAAAAAGGCCUAUAGAUUUUUGAAUCUUUAGGUCGGUUGUAAAAUUCUUUCACUGAUGAAGAUUAUGACUUUAUUCAGAGAAGAAGCCCCGGCUAACUUCGUGCCAGCAGCCGCGGUAAUACGAAGGGGGCGAGCGUUAUCCGGAAUGAUUGGGCGUAAAGAGUUCGUAGGCGGUAUUUGUUGUUAUAUGUAAAAUCCUAGGCUUAUUACUUAGGUAUGCAUAUAAUACUCUUUUACUUGAGUAUAGUAGAGGAUAACAGAAUUUCAUACAUAGGGGUAAAAUCCAAUCAUUUAUGGAGGAAUGCCAGUGGCGAAAGCGGUUAUCUGGACUAUUUACUGACGCUGAGGAACGAAAGCAUAGGGAGCAAACAGGAUUAGAUACCCUGGUAGUCUAUGCUGUCAAAGAUGAGUGCUAAUAUUGGGAAUAUUUCUGAUAUAAAGUUAACACGUUAAGCACUCCGCCUGGGAAGUACGAUCGCAAGAUUGGAACCCAAAGGAAUUGACGGGAGUCUAUACAAGUGGUGGAGCAUGUGGUUUAAUGCGAUAAUACGCGCAAAACCUUACCAAUUCUUGAAUAUAAAAAAUUAACAUUUUAUUUUGUUAUUUUUUUAGUUUAUAUUUAAAAUAUAAACAAAUAAAUUUAUACAGGUGUUGCAUGGCUGUCGUCAGCUCGUGCCGUGAGGUGUUUGGUUCAGUCCUUUAACGAGCGCAACUCUUUUCUUAUAUUGGUAAAUUUUUUAGAAAUUAUUAAAAAACCACUUUUAAGAUACAGCUAGUGAUAAACUAGAGGAAGGUGAGAAUUACGUCAAGUCCUUAUGGC
rnacentral:rRNA from 1 species